GAUGAACGCUGACAGAAUGCUUAACACAUGCAAGUCAACUUGAACUUCGGUUUGGGUGGCGGACGGGUGAGUAACGCGUAAAGAACUUGCCUCACAGAUAGGGACAACAUUUGGAAACGAAUGCUAAUACCUGAUAUUAUGAUUUUAGGGCAUCCUAGAAUUAUGAAAGCUAUAUGCGCUGUGAGAGAGCUUUGCGUCCCAUUAGCUAGUUGGAGAGGUAACGGCUCACCAAGGCGAUGAUGGGUAGCCGGCCUGAGAGGGUGAUCGGCCACAAGGGGACUGAGACACGGCCCUUACUCCUACGGGAGGCAGCAGUGGGGAAUAUUGGACAAUGGACCAAGAGUCUGAUCCAGCAAUUCUGUGUGCACGAUGAAGUUUUUCGGAAUGUAAAGUGCUUUCAGUUGGGAAGAAAAAAAUGACGGUACCAACAGAAGAAGUGACGGCUAAAUACGUGCCAGCAGCCGCGGUAAUACGUAUGUCACAAGCGUUAUCCGGAUUUAUUGGGCGUAAAGCGCGUCUAGGUGGUUAUAUAAGUCUGAUGUGAAAAUGCAGGGCUAACUCUGUAUUGCGUUGGAAACUGUGUAACUAGAGUACUGGAGAGGUAACCGGAACUACAAGUGUAGAGGUGAAUUUCUGUCAUCUCUGCAGGAAUGCUCCUGGGGAAGCCGAU
rnacentral:rRNA from 1 species